UUUAAUACUUAAAGUUUUUUCUACAUGGUGUUACAGAAGUGAGGAGAACCAGGUUUGAUAAAGUAAUUUUGGUAAUAGAAAUGUAUUAGCCUCAGAAGCUACUGAGGUGGUCCGUUCUAUGCUAGCAUAGUG